GGCCUGGAAAGAGGAUUUGAUUGAACAGGCUUAAGAAAAAAUUGGUGGUAGGAAUACUUGGAUAAAUGGCUGCUUACAGUUUUUAACCAUUUUAAUCGACUUUCAUUUACUUUUUUACUUAAUUAUUAAAUGCACAAUAUAUGGACAUGUUUGUGAAUAUGCAAAAACAUACGUGGUUUGGUAUAACAGGUCAAGUCUCAGUGGUCCGGUGAUGCUGUGACACCCAAGAGUACAUCAUCUGAAGGAGCACAAAAGUAAUAGCAAUAAUGUAACAGCUCAUCAUCUUAUAUGCUUAAAGAAAAACUAGCCUGUAAGUAUCCCGUAAAUGAAAACAACAUACAGUACAUAUUUGCAAAAAAAGUAUGAAAUACAAUUUCUCAUCAGUGAAUAAUGUGG
rnacentral:lncRNA from 1 species